rnacentral:tRNA from 1 species
GCCGAUGUGGCGGAACUGGCAGACGCGCCAGACUCAAAAUCUGGUGUCCGCAAGGACGUGUGGGUUCGAUCCCCUCCAUCGGCA